rnacentral:rRNA from 1 species
GGGUGCUUAACACAUGCAAGUCGAACGGAAAGGCCCUGUUUUUGUGGGGUGCUCGAGUGGCGAACGGGUGAGUAACACGUGAGUAACCUGCCCUUGACUUUGGGAUAACUUCAGGAAACUGGGGCUAAUACCGGAUAGGAGCUCCUGCUGCAUGGUGGGGGUUGGAAAGUUUCGGCGGUUGGGGAUGGACUCGCGGCUUAUCAGCUUGUUGGUGGGGUAGUGGCUUACCAAGGCUUUGACGGGUAGCCGGCCUGAGAGGGUGACCGGCCACAUUGGGACUGAGAUACGGCCCAGACUCCUACGGGAGGCAGCAGUGGGGAAUAUUGCACAAUGGGCGGAAGCCUGAUGCAGCAACGCCGCGUGCGGGAUGACGGCCUUCGGGUUGUAAACCGCUUUCGCCUGUGACGAAGCGUGAGUGACGGUAAUGGGUAAAGAAGCACCGGCUAACUACGUGCCAGCAGCCGCGGUGAUACGUAGGGUGCGAGCGUUGUCCGGAUUUAUUGGGCGUAAAGGGCUCGUAGGUGGUUGAUCGCGUCGGAAGUGUAAUCUUGGGGCUUAACCCUGAGCGUGCUUUCGAUACGGGUUGACUUGAGGAAGGUAGGGGAGAAUGGAAUUCCUGGUGGAGCGGUGGAAUGCGCAGAUAUCAGGAGGAACACCAGUGGCGAAGGCGGUUCUCUGGGCCUUUCCUGACGCUGAGGAGCGAAAGCGUGGGGAGCGAACAGGCUUAGAUACCCUGGUAGUCCACGCUGUAAACGGUGGGUACUAGGUGUGGGGUCCAUUCCACGGGUUCCGUGCCGUAGCUAACGCUUUAAGUACCCCGCCUGGGGAGUACGGCCGCAAGGCUAAAACUCAAAGGAAUUGACGGGGCCCCGCACAAGCGGCGGAGCAUGCGGAUUAAUUCGAUGCAACGCGUAGAACCUUACCUGGGUUUGACAUGGAUCGGGAGUGCUCAGAGAUGGGUGUGCCUCUUUUGGGGUCGGUUCACAGGUGGUGCAUGGCUGUCGUCAGCUCGUGUCGUGAGAUGUUGGGUUAAGUCCCGCAACGAGCGCAACCCUUGUUCACUGUUGCCAGCACGUUAUGGUGGGGACUCAGUGGAGACCGCCGGGGUCAACUCGGAGGAAGGUGGGGAUGACGUCAAGUCAUCAUGCCCCUUAUGUCCAGGGCUUCACGCAUGCUACAAUGGCUGGUACAGAGAGUGGCGAGCCUGUGAGGGUGAGCGAAUCUCGGAAAGCCGGUCUCAGUUCGGAUUGGGGUCUGCAACUCGACCUCAUGAAGUCGGAGUCGCUAGUAAUCGCAGAUCAGCAACGCUGCGGUGAAUACGUUCCCGGGGCUUGUACACACCGCCCGUCAAGUCAUGAAAGUUGGUAACACCCGAAGCCGGUGGCCUAACCGUUGUGGGGGAGCCGUCGAAGGUGGGACUGGUGAUUAG